rnacentral:rRNA from 1 species
CGCGUGAGUGAUGAAGGCCCUAGGGUUGUAAAGCUCUUUUGUGCGGGAAGAUAAUGACGGUACCGCAAGAAUAAGCCCCGGCUAACUUCGUGCCAGCAGCCGCGGUAAUACGAAGGGGGCUAGCGUUGCUCGGAAUCACUGGGCGUAAAGGGUGCGUAGGCGGGUCUUUAAGUCAGGGGUGAAAUCCUGGAGCUCAACUCCAGAACUGCCUUUGAUACUGAAGAUCUUGAGUUCGGGAGAGGUGAGUGGAACUGCGAGUGUAGAGGUGAAAUUCGUAGAUAUUCGCAAGAACACCAGUGGCGAAGGCGGCUCACUGGCCCGAUACUGACGCUGAGGCACGAAAGCGUGGGGAGCAAACA